CCAAUUGGGUUUUCUCGGGAAGGUUUUUAACGAGGCGGCUAAGGGGUCACCUGGAGAUGUUUGCACCGCAAGUGCAUCAUGUCCGCUUCUCCAUAAACUCUCCAAGCUAGACAAGAUAUAGGGACUGGAUUAGUGUCAUCUCCAAGUGAAUGAAAAGGCUACGGCCAUCUCCAGAUGAAUGUAAAGGCUACGGCCAUCUCCAGAUGAAUGUAAAGGCUACGGCCAUCUCCGGAUGAAUGUGAAGGCUACGGCCAUCUCCGGAUGAAUAUAAAGGCUACGGCCAUCUCCAAAAGAAUAUAAAGGCUACGGCCAUCUCCAAAUGAAUGAAGUGGCUAUGGCCAUCGUUUAUAUGGGUAAGGCCAUCAGGCUACGGCCUUUAUUUUACAUGGCUAUAGCCAUCGUUUAUAUGGCUAAGGCCAUCAGGCUAAGGCCUUUAUUUUAUAUGGCUAAGGCCAUCCGGUUACGACCUUUAUUUUACAUGGCUUAAGGCCAUCAGGCUACGGCCUUUAUUUUACAUGGCUAUGGCCAUCGUUCAUAUGGCUAAGGCAUCAAGCUAUGGCCUUCAUUUUACAUGGCUAUGGCCAUCGUUCAUAUGGCUAAGGCCAUCAGGCUACGGCCUCUAUUUUACAUGGCUAUGGCCAUCGUUCAUAUGGCUAAGGCCAUCAGGCUACGGUCUUUAGUUUACAUAGCUAUGGCCAUCGUUCAUAUGGAUAAAGCCAUCAGCCUACGGCCUUUAUUUUACAUGGCUAUAGUCAUCGUUUAUAUGGAUAAGGCCAUCAGGCGACGUCUUUUAUUUUACAUGGCUAUGGCUAUCGUUACAUGGCUAUGGCCAUCGUUCAUAUGGCUAGGGCCAUGAGGCUACGGCCUUUAUUUUACAUGGCUAUGGCCAUCGUUUAUAUGGCUAAGGCCAUCAGGCUACGGCCUUUAUUUUACAUGGCUAUGGCCAUUGUUCAUAUGGCUAAAGCUAUCAGGCUACGUCCUUUAUUUUACGUGGUUACGACCAUUAUUUUAUACGGCUGAGGCCGUUAGGCCGCGGCUUUUAUAUUACAUGGCUAUGGCCAUCAUUCUCAUCAGGCUACGGCCUCUAUCUGUACAUGGCUAGAGCCAUCGCAUUCACAAGGCUACGGCCGCCUAUUUUAUAUAGCUAAAGCCAUCAGGCUAACUUUACACCACUAUGGCCGACAAAUUCCAAGCGCGGCUACAACCAGAUCAUGAUAUCGCAUUCACAAGGCUACGGCCGCCUAUUUUAUAUAGCUAAAGCCAUCAGGCUAACUUGACACUGCUAUGGCCGAUCAAUUCCAAGCGACUACGAUAAAAGAAAAAUACGACAAACUGCCAAAAGGUAGAAGAAUUAUUUUUACCUACCACAAAAGUUACAUGUUUUCAUCAAGGGGAACAAACACCCCUAAUACAAAAAUCAGUAUAAACAAGUAUAUUUACAAGGACCUAAGAAAACCGCUACUUAUCUAGCCCGACCUGGCCCUCAGGUGGCCCGUCCUCAUUUCCGGGAGGGUACGCCAUGGAAAUCCAAGAGCUGGAUUCCAAGCGAUUGAUAUCUGCUGAGUUGCCCCCUCCCGGGCCGGUGACUCAGGACCAUAGCCCGCCGCCUCACGAGGGACUCUGACCAACCGGUGCUGGCUCUCAACUUUCUCUUCAAACGCUCGGCCAGCCGCAAGGAACUCCUCACGCACGACCAACCGAGCCUCAGCAUAAACCCACAUCUCGUGUGCUUCACGAGAGAUAUCAGCUUGCGCAAGAGCUCGCCUGAGCUCCUCAACUUCGGCCUUUGUGGCGUCCAGCUCCGCAGUUAAAGCCGCGACCCGGGUUCGUAGUUUUGCCGCUUCCUCCGCCACCACGCGGCCAAGCUGCAGCUCCUCAUCCUUGGCCUGGAGAAGGACCUCCAUCUCCGCGGCCCGAGCAACGGCGGCCAUGAGUUGUUCAUCAACUCUCUCCAGCUCGGCCACUCUCUUCUUCAACUGUUCCUCGGACUCGGCAGGACCCUCACGAACCACCCUAAUGUUAGGGUCCUGCUUAUACAUGUCCGCCAAGGUCGAGUGCGCCUCGCGCGUUCUAUCAUGCUCCUGCACCAGCCUAUUGUAUCUGGCCAUCUUCUCCUUCCGACGUCGUUCCCUCUCUACCUCCAAAACGAGAGUCUGUUAAAGAAACCAAGUACGAGAAAAAUCACCCUCCAACAAACGCAAAGAGAAAAGCCAUCAGGCAAGACAAAGGCAUACUUGUAAGGCCGCACUUGCCGCCCGUUGGGCCAAAACUUUGUCGCUGAGUUCCGCAAGGGUCUCACGCCCGGCGCCAGCGCACAAAAGCAUCAUACUAGAGGCCGCCUCCUCACAGUUCUCCAGCAAAUUAUAGUGACUUGGAAUCACUAUACGACGAGAAAAUCGAUCAUCCUCCAUUUCAACCCGGUCCAAGGACC
rnacentral:lncRNA from 1 species